UACGAAGGGUGCAAGCGUUACUCGGAAUUACUGGGCGUAAAGCGUGCGUAGGUGGUUUGUUAAGCUGUUGUGAAAGCCCCGGGCUCAACCUGGGAAUGGCAAUGGAUACUGGCAGGCUAGAGUGCGGUAGAGGGUAGUGGAAUUCCCGGUGUAGCGGUGAAAUGCGUAGAGAUCGGGAGGAACACCAGUAGCGAAGGCGGCUACCUGGACCAGCACUGACACUGAGGCACGAAAGCGUGGGGAGCAAACAGG
rnacentral:rRNA from 1 species